GCCGGUAGCCAUCUUCGUGCAUAGCCAGGGGAUUGGACGGUGUCAUGGAAAUGUCAAAGAAAAAGUGACACCUGAGAGAAAAUUUGAAAGAUGAAAGGUGCACAUCAUGGAGACAAUCUGACUGGUACAGAGAAAUGAAGAGACAACAUUUUCUUUCCAAAUCUGAGUGGAGAUGAUAGAAGAGGCCCUGGUUAGCAGCUUCAGAUGAUGGAUACAUAAAAAUGGGAGAGAGAAAACAUAUAAGAGUGACUAAUUGUUGAGUUUCCAGGGCUCAAACCAAUCUUGAAUUGGAAUUUCAAGACAUAAAAACCACUGCAGGAACCUGCUGGAGAAACGGCCUCUGGUAUCUCUAUCUGAAAUAUGAUUAUCUUAAGUUCGCAAAGCAUUGUGUCUGCAGUGUGAGUUUGAAAACAACAAUGUUAAGGCAACUUCGCAGCUUCUUAAUCAAGCCCUUCUCCAUCUCUCCGUGUGGUUUUUGGGGUGGUGGAGGUGGAGCCAAAAAAGAGAGGGCAGUUUCCCAGGGCUGAAGAUGCUACCAUGACUCAUAGGAUCUAUGCAAACCCUGUGAGUGAAUUCUGAGGAAGAAGAAUGAGUAAUAUUUUGAUUUUAUUACUGAUGGUAAUAAGAUAGUAUCAUCAGUGUGGUAUAUUCUGAUUACUGAAUUCUAUUCCCUAUUUUCUUCCUGUGGCCAAAUAAAAUUUGUGUGUGUAAGCUAUGAUAUUUAGUGUUGUUAUCUGAUGAGACAGGUUUAGUGGAAAAGUUCAUUUUAAAUAAACA
rnacentral:lncRNA from 10 species